UGGUCAGGAGGCCCCUGGCCUGCAGGCUUUGUGACUGCCCCUCCCGGGAGCAGACUCCAGGCUGGUUUGGUGCCCGCUCAGGGCCAUUCACCAGAGUUAAACAUCUAGCCAGCGAGAGGGCGGGGGCCUCAGCUACGCUCCAGCCUCUGUCCUCCCCGGCCCCGCUCCAGCUGCUCUGUCCAUCCGUCCUGGGCAGCGCUCAGCAGCCUCACGUCCUCCCUCUGUGGCCUCCUCCCCUGCACAGGACCCAGGGCACCCGGUCGGCUCCUCCGUCCCCAUCUAAUGCCACCUUACAGUCGCUUGUUCAUUCAUUGGACACGCAUUCAUUAAGCACCCUCUGAUCGCUGAUCCCUCAGAGAUCUCUGAUCCCUCUGUCUCUGCCCAGGUCUCUGAUCCCUCAGCUGUCAUGUGGCUGUUCUCGGGACAAGCUUUACUUUCUCGCCUUGUAAAGUGGUCUUGAGUGGGUCACGUCACCUUCUUCCCCAGGCCCCGCUGGGAUGGCCCAUGGGACGUUGCCAUCACAGGGUGAGCACCUACCAUGUGCUGGGCACUGUGUCAUGCAGGUUACAAAUGUCCUCCCACCGAUAUCCCUGCAAGCCCUGGAAAGCCAGGGCCUCUUCUGCUCCCUGCCUCUCACUUGCAGAAAGUGAAGCUCAGACAGGCAGAGUGACCUGCCCCGGGGCAUACAGCUGGUGAGAGGCCAAGCCAGGGCCUUGCGCUCCAAAGUCUGGGAUUCACAGGGCUCCACAACCCCUCGCCUGUUGGUGUUGGCUGCGUGUAACAGCCACAUCCUACGAUGAGACUUUCUGUGGCUUCUCAGUCCCUUCCAGCCCCUGUAGAUGGCAGCUCGGUCCUGUCCCCCACCCUGACCUCGGGGUCCUGAAUCUCCAGCCCAGAAAUGUUGACCUUGACAUCAACUCUGCAGGCUGAAACAAUCCCCAAAGGUGCCCCUCGUCCUAACCCCUGCACCUGCAACGGUGUUAACUUGGGUGACCAAGGGACUCUGCAGACGUGAUUCAGUGAAGGACCUGGAUGUGGGGGGGCGGUGUGUCCUGGAUUAGCCAGUGGUCCCGAGGAACCCCGGGGCCCUCACAGGAGGGAGCCAGGGGCGUCAGAGUCAGAGAGAGGAAUGGAAGAUGCUCCAAUGAUGGAUUUGGAGAAAGAGGAAGAGGCCAGGAGCCAAGGAAUUCAGGCGGCCUGGAAGCUGGGAGCACAAGGACCAGGGCUCCCCAGAGCCUCUAGAAGGAACCAGCCCUGCCGACACCCGGAUUUUGGCCCAGUGAGAGCCAUGUCUGACUUCUGACCUGCAGAACCAGGAGAGAAGCAGCUGUGAGGUUUCAGCCUCUAAGCUUGUGGUGAUUUGUCAGGGUAGCCAUGGGACACUCACACAGUGCCCUGGACACCCCACUGCUGUACGGGUCCUGGCCGUGCCUGCCCUCCUCCCUUCCCUACCCCCAGGUUGAUGCAAGACGGCCCCCACCCACACCCAGACCCCAGGCGUGAAGGAGGUCUUGGCCGCCCCAGCCUCUCCAGUCUCGCAGCCUCUGGGCUCUGGGCCCUGCCUCUGGCCCUGCUCACUUUCUGCCCUGGGCCAUUGUUAGUGCCUUAUCAGCCCAGCACAUCUCGCCUGCAUCUAAUUGGAAUUUCCUCAGAGGCAGGAAACCUGGCUCAGGCGUCAUCAGGGCUCAGAUGGUGGACCUGCGGCCUUCCUACUGGGUAAACUGGGUAAACUGAGGAACUGGCUCUUACUGAGUCGCACACCUGCCCACUCUUGGCUAACCUCCUGGGGCUGCUUGAUGCUCUUUCCCACGGCCCAGGAAGCCCUCAAGGUCAGCCCAUCCUCCCUCCCGCUGUGUUCUCCCGCGGGGCCUCUGCCCAGGCAGCUCUCUCUGCCCGUAAGCUCAGGCUCUCUGGGUGCAGCGCUGCUCCGUCUUGCUCAGGGCUCAGCGUGGCAGGAGUGAGAAGCCACCCCUUCGAGAGCUGCCCUGCACGGCACUCCCUUGCUGGAAAUCACUUCAUUAUUGCUUGGCUUUUUUUUUUUUUCUUUUCCCUGAAUCUUCUGAGGGGAUCAUCGUGCCUACACCACUCCCAGGACCUGUUUCGAGGCAGGGGUCCACGUAUGUCUCACAGAUGGGCCACGGCAGCUGUUGCACAAAGGUGUUCCUGGCUCCAGCUGACCUCAGGCAAGUCAAGUCCCCCCCCUGGGCUGGGGGCUGCACCUGGAACAUGGCAAUACAAAGGCAGGCCUGGUAAGGACACAAGACGCCUGAUGGCACACACAGUAUGUGCUCAGCUAACAGCAGCUCUUUCCCUUGACCCUCCAAUGAUCGUCAAGGUGCCCCUUGAUCCACAGGCCAGGGAGGUUAUUGAUAAAAUGUGUCCCCUGGCACGGAAUGCACAGCCCAUGAUGCCCUGUCCUCCUUCAGGCAGAGCCGAGGGCACAGGAGACCCACAGCUGUGCGGACUCCCCGCUGGUGGGGAUGGCCACAUUCCAGGUGGGACAACAGAGCUCUGCUCAGGGUCACACAGCUGACAUGUCACAGAUUCAGACUUCCAACCUGCUCUGUGUGGCUUUGCCGUGGCCCAAAGAAGAAGAGCAGGACUCAGAGGCAUCUCAUAGGUGGACAGAGACCCCCAAUCUGUGUGCUGCUGUUAAAGCUCCCUGUACACCUCCUGCUGUGGACAGAGACCCCCGAAUCUGUGUGCAGUGGUUAAAGGUCCCUGUAUGCCUCCUGCUGUAACCAGAACCCCACGAACAGCUCGUAUCAAGGUUCCCAGGCCGGCCAGGCAGGGCUGGGCAGAGUGAGGUGCUCCAGCUCAUGGACAGGGGGACUAAGAAGGCUUGGGGGCUCGGAGAACGUUCUCUCCAGUUCCCCAGGGGCAGGAAUCUGCCCCAGCCCAGGUUCCUGCCCCAGCGAGGCCUUCUCAUCAGCAUGAUCGGCGUCCGGUUUGGAGCCAGGCCACACAAAGCCACACAGAGCAUCCUCAGAAGUUUGGUGACAGAAAACGAUGUGACCUAGGCAGGGUUUGGAGUCCGCAGCUUUUGGCGGGGCAGGUCAUGGUCCCGGGGUGUUGUGGCCACAGAGCCACGCAGGGGAGGCGCUAGGUUGUGGGUCAGGGGACGGGGAGGCCCCUUCAUCCCUGGCCAGGUUGGGCAGCGGUGAAGCCUUCUUCCCUCCCCCACUGCCCCCUCACAACCCCGACACUCUUCACUGAACCCCUCUGUCUGCUAGGCACUGGGUAGACACUAUUUGUUUAGACAAAAUUCCUUUUGGGCC
rnacentral:lncRNA from 1 species